rnacentral:rRNA from 1 species
CCCNCCCCCNCNCNANAAAANGNAACAAGGGGUGCUGGCAUGGGCUGUCGUCAGCUCGUGCCCGUGAGGUGUUGGGUUAAGUCCCGCAACGAGCGCAACCCUUGUCUUUAGUUGCCAUCAUUUAGUUGGGCACUCUAAAGAGACUGCCGGUGUUAAACCGGAGGAAGGUGGGGACGACGUCAAGUCCUCAUGGCCUUUAUGCCCAGGGCUACACACGUGCUACAAUGGGCGGUACAAAGGGUCGCAAACCUGUGAAGGGGAGCUAAUCCCAAAAAGCCGUCCUCAGUUCGGAUCGGAGUCUGCAACUCGACUCCGUGAAGUUGGAAUCGCUAGUAAUCGUGGAUCAGCAUGCCACGGUG